AUUGAACGCUGGCGGCAUGCUUUACACAUGCAAGUCGAACGGCAGCACGGGUGCUUGCACCUGGUGGCGAGUGGCGGACGGGUGAGUAAUGCAUCGGAACGUGUCCUGAAGUGGGGGAUAACGCAUCGAAAGAUGUGCUAAUACCGCAUAUUCUCUGAGGAGGAAAGUAGGGGAUCGAAAGACCUUAUGCUUUUGGAGCGGCCGAUGUCUGAUUAGCUAGUUGGUAGGGUAAUGGCUUACCAAGGCGACGAUCAGUAGUUGGUCUGAGAGGACGACCAGCCACACUGGGACUGAGACACGGCCCAGACUCCUACGGGAGGCAGCAGUGGGGAAUUUUGGACAAUGGGCGCAAGCCUGAUCCAGCAAUGCCGCGUGAGUGAAGAAGGCCUCGGUUGUAAG
rnacentral:rRNA from 1 species